rnacentral:rRNA from 1 species
CAGUCGCCGCGGGAAUACGUAUGUCACGAGCGUUAUCCGGAUUUAUUGGGCGUAAAGCGCGUCUAGGUGGUUAUAUAAGUCUGAUGUGAAAAUGCAGGGCUCAACUCUGUAUUGCGUUGGAAACUGUAUAACUAGAGUACUGGAGAGGUAAGCGGAACUACAAGUGUAGAGGUGAACUUCGUAGAUAUUUGUAGGAAUGCCGAUGGGGAAGCCAGCUUACUGGACAGAUACUGACGCUGAAGCGCGAAAGCGUGGGUAGCAAACAGGAUUAGAUACCCCUGUAGUCCCUGUCUCUUAUACA